GGUAAUUGACGCUGAGGCACGAAAGCGUGGGGAUCAAACAGGAUUAGAUACCCUGGUAGUCCACGCAGUAAACGAUGAUAACUAACCGCUGGGAUUUCGGUUUCAGUGGCCAAGCGAAAGCGAUAAGUUAUCCACCUGGGGAGUACGACCGCAAGGUUGAAACUCAAAGGAAUUGACGGGGGCCCGCACAAGCGGAGGAACAUGUGGUUUAAUUCGAUGAUACGCGAGGAACCUUACCCGGGCUCGAACGGCUGGUGAAGCGAUCCAGAGAUGGUGACGUCCUUCGGGACACCAGUCGAGGUGCUGCAUGGUUGUCGUCAGCUCGUGCCGUGAGGUGUCGGCUCAAGUGCCAUAACGAGCGCAACCCUUGUCGUCAGUUACCAGCAUGCAAUGAUGGGGACUCUGGCGAGACUGCCACCGCAAGGUGAGAGGAAGGGGGGGAUGACGUCAAAUCAGCACGGCCCUUACGUCCGGGGCGACACACGUGUUACAAUGGCGGCCACAGAGGGGCACUACCUGGUGACAGGAUGGGAAUCUCGAAAAGCCGUCUCAGUCCGGAUCGGAGUCUGCAACCCGACUCCGUGAAGCUGGAUUCGCUAGU
rnacentral:rRNA from 1 species